rnacentral:rRNA from 1 species
UACGUAGGGUGCGAGCGUUAAUCGGAAUUACUGGGCGUAAAGCGUGCGCAGGCGGUUUUGUAAGACAGGUGUGAAAUCCCCGGGCUUAACCUGGGAACUGCAUUUGUGACUGCAAGACUAGAGUACGGCAGAGGGGGGUAGAAUUCCACGUGUAGCAGUGAAAUGCGUAGACAUGUGGAGGAAUACCGAUGGCGAAGGCAGCCCCCUGGGUCGAUACUGACGCUCAUGCACGAAAGCGUGGGGAGCAAACAGG